rnacentral:rRNA from 1 species
AUGCAUGUCUAAGUCCAUGCCGAAACAAGGCUAAACCGCGAAUGGCUCAUUAAAUCAGUUGUGGUUCCUUAGAUCGUACAAUCCUACUUGGAUAACUGUGGCAAUUCUAGAGCUAAUACAUGCUUCCAAGACUUCGUCCUUGCGGAUGGAGGGCUUUUAUUAGAACAGGACCAACGGGUUCCCUUCGCGGACCCAGAAACUCUUGGUGACUCUGAAUAACUUUGGGCUGAUCGCAACGGUCUCGCACCGGCGACUUAUCUUUCAAGUGUCUGCCUUAUCAACUGUCGAUGGUAGGUUAUGCGCCUACCAUGGUUGUAACGGGUAACGGGGAAUCAGGGUUCGAUUCCGGAGAGGGAGCCUGAGAAACGGCUACCACAUCCAAGGAAGGCAGCAGGCGCGCAAAUUACCCACUCCCGGCACGGGGAGGUAGUGACGAAAAAUAACGAUACGGGACUCAUAUGAGGCCCCGUAAUCGGAAUGAGUACACUUUAAAUCCUUUAACGAGGAUCUAAUGGAGGGCAAGUCAGGUGCCAGCAGCCGCGGUAAUUCCUGCUCCAUAAGUAUACUCCAAAUUUGUUGCGGUUAAAAAGCUCGUAGUUGGAUCUUGGCUCGCGACGGUCGGAUCGUCUUCUUGGCGAAUUCCAGACCGAUCCGAGCAGAAAUCGCUGGUACGUCCGUCGGUGCUCUUCAUCGAGUGUCGGCGGAUGGCCGGUACGUUUACUUUGAAAAAAUUAGAGUGCUCAAAGCAGGCGAUGGUGCCGGAAUAAUAGUGCAUGGAAUAAUGGAAUAGGAUCUCGGUUCUAUUUUGUUGGUUCUCGGAACUCGAGAUAAUGAUUAAUAGGAA